GAUGAACGCUGGCGGCGUGCCUAAUACAUGCGAGUCGAGCGAACGGACGAGAAGCUUGCUUCUCUGAUGUUAGCGGCGGACGGGUGAGUAACACGUGGAUAACCUACCUAUAAGACUGGGAUAACUUCGGGAAACCGGAGCUAAUACCGGAUGAUAUUUUGAACCGCAUGGUUCAAAAGUGAAAGACGGUCUUGCUGUCACUUAUAGAUGGAUCCGCGCUGCAUUAGCUAGUUGGUAAGUUAACGGCUUACCAAGGCAACGAUGCGUAGCCGACCUGAGAGAGUGAUAGGCCACACUGGAACUGAGACAGGGUCAAGACUCCUACGGGAGGGAUCAGUAGGGAAUCUUCCGCAAUGGUCGGAAGCCUGACGGAGCAACGCCGCGUGAGUGAUGAAGGUCUUCGGAUCGUAAAACUCUGUUAUUAGGGAAGAACAUAUGUGUAAGUAACUGUGCACAUCUUGACGGUACCUAAUCAGAAAGCCACGGCUAACUACGUG
rnacentral:rRNA from 1 species